rnacentral:misc_RNA from 1 species
UACGGAGGGUGCAAGCGUUGUCCGGAAUUAUUGGGCGUAAAGAGCUCGUAGGCGGUUUGUCGCGUCUGCUGUGAAAACGCGGGGCUUAACCCUGCGCCUGCAGUGGGUACGGGCAGACUUGAGUGCGGUAGGGGAGACUGGAAUUCCUGGUGUAGCGGUGGAAUGCGCAGAUAUCAGGAGGAACACCGGUGGCGAAGGCGGGUCUCUGGGCCGUUACUGACGCUGAGGAGCGAAAGCAUGGGGAGCGAACAGG